rnacentral:rRNA from 1 species
GACGAACGCUGGCGGCGUGCUUAACACAUGCAAGUCGAACGGAAAGGCCCUGCUUUUGUGGGGUGCUCGAGUGGCGAACGGGUGAGUAACACGUGAGUAACCUGCCCUUGACUUUGGGAUAACUUCAGGAAACUGGGGCUAAUACCGGAUAGGGGCUCCUGCUGCAUGGUGGGGGUUGGAAAGUUUCGGCGGUUGAGGAUGGACUCGCGGCUUAUCAGCUUGUUGGUGGGGUAGUGGCUUACCAAGGCUUUGACGGGUAGCCGGCCUGAGAGGGUGACCGGCCACAUUGGGACUGAGAUACGGCCCAGACUCCUACGGGAGGCAGCAGUGGGGAAUAUUGCACAAUGGGCGGAAGCCUGAUGCAGCAACGCCGCGUGCGGGAUGACGGCCUUCGGGUUGUAAACCGCUUUCGCCUGUGACGAAGCGUGAGUGACGGUAAUGGGUAAAGAAGCACCGGCUAACUACGUG